rnacentral:rRNA from 1 species
CGCGGUAUUUUGACCGUGCGAAGGUAGCAUAAUCAUUAGUCUUUUAAUUGGAGGCUGGAAUGAAUGGUUGGACGAGAAGGAAGCUGUCUCUAUCUCGGAGAUUGAAUUUAACUUUUAAGUGAAAAGGCUUAAAUAAGUUAGAGGGACGAUAAGACCCUAUAAAGUUUAUACAUGAAGUUGGUUAAGAGUGAUUUAAGGUGUUAAAGUUUAUUAUCAGCAGGGUGUUUAGUUGGGGCGACUAGGAUAUAAAUUAUAUAACUGUUUUUUGUUUAAUCAGAGAUAUUUGUUCAUAUGGUCCCUUUUUAGGAUUAGAGAAUAAAUUACUUUAGGGAUAACAGCGUAAUUUUUUUUAAGAGUUCUUAUCGACAAGAGAGUUUGCGACCUCGAUGUUGAAUUAAAAAUUUCUCUGUGGUGUAGCGGUUACAGGAGAAGGUC